AGAUUGAUCAUGGCUAGGGAUGAACGCUGGCGGCGUGCCUAACACAUGCAAGUCGAACGAAGCAUCUUGCCCGACAAAGAGGAGUGCUUGCACAAAUCGGAGUCAAUUAAGAUGACUUAGUGGCGGACGGGUGAGUAACGCGUGGGUAACCUGCCCUAUACAGGGGGAUAACAGUUAGAAAUGACUGCUAAUACCGCAUAAGCGCACAGUACCGCAUGGUACAGUGUGAAAAACUCAGGUGGUAUAGGAUGGACCCGCGUCUGAUUAGCCAGUUGGCAGGGUAACGGCCUACCAAAGCGACGAUCAGUAGCCGGCCUGAGAGGGUGAACGGCCACAUUGGGACUGAGACACGGCCCAAACUCCUACGGGAGGCAGCAGUGGGGGAUAUUGCACAAUGGGGGAAACCCUGAUGCAGCGACGCCGCGUGAGCGAUGAAGUAUUUCGGUAUGUAAAGCUCUAUCAGCAGGGAAGAAAAUGACGGUACCUGACUAAGAAGCUCCGGCUAAAUACGUGCCAGCAGCCGCGGUAAUACGUAUGGAGCAAGCGUUAUCCGGAUUUACUGGGUGUAAAGGGAGCGUAGACGGUUUGCCAAGUCUGAUGUGAAAGGUGUGGGCUCAACCCGCAAACUGCAUUGGAAACUGGUGUACUUGAGUGUCGGAGAGGUAAGUGGAAUUCCUAGUGUAGCGGUGAAAUGCGUAGAUAUUAGGAGGAACACCAGCGGGCGAAGGCGGCUUACUGGACGAAUAACUGGACGGUUGAGGCUCCGAAAGCCGUUGAG
rnacentral:rRNA from 1 species